rnacentral:rRNA from 1 species
UACAGAGGGUGCAAGCGUUGUUCGGAAUUACUGGGCGUAAAGCGCACGUAGGCGGCUUUGUAAGUAAGAGGUGAAAGCCCAGGGCUUAACCCUGGAAUUGCCUUUAAGACUGCAUCGCUAGAAUCGUGGAGAGGUGAGUGGAAUUCCGAGUGUAGAGGUGAAAUUCGUAGAUAUUCGGAAGAACACCAGUGGCGAAGGCGACUCACUGGACACGUAUUGACGCUGAGGUGCGAAAGCGUGGGGAGCAAACAGG